CUUUGGAAUUGUAUGUGGUUUUGAGUUAUUCUUUCAUUUAGAUGCUGGAAGGUUCUUUUAUGUGAUCUACUAUCAAUUGAUUGUUAAUAGGCCUUCUCUGUUAGUAUAGAAUGUGUUGAAGAAAUGAUGUUGAAUAUGCCCAAGAAGGAUGAGACAUCGCCCCGUCUGAGGCAUAUAUUUGUCAAAUUGGUGGAGAGAUGCCGGUGCCAGCUGGAACAGAUUCCACCAGAACAAACUUUUGAGUCAUUCAGCCUAAAUAUGGAUGUUGAUGCAUUUGACAAUUGUAGAGCCUGAUCCUAUGGAUCGUGAUGAUGAUGGAAGAAGUUUGUCAGAUCAAGGCUCUCACAGUGUUGAUCAAAUUUCUUCAAACCAACAGGAGAUGGAGAACACUUCACUUUUUGUUUCUUUCAACACUAAUUUUAAGUUGACGUCCCUGAAAAUAAAACAACUGAAAGUUGGUGUUUUUUUUGUUUGGUUUCCCACCCGGUGUCUAGCACCCACAUUGGAAGUCCCACAUUGGGUGGGGUAUGACAGUGAACCAUUUACUUUUCCCGAUGCUGAGGAUGAUGACAGAUUUGAUGAUUAACUGUUUUUUGGACCAGGAUUUUCUUCACAUUUCCUGGGCUGGUGAAAGGUAAGCUUCCGUAGGAAUACCACAAGGAAUUGUAACUUUUCCAAUCCUCCUCUCUCCAGUAGCCUUGAUAUGAAGAUGGAUCACCAGUAAAAUCUUAGAGAACAGAGAGUGGAGAAGCAGAAUCUGAAAUUGCUUUCACCAAAGCUUUCGACACUGAUCUAUCACAUGGCUUUGCUCCUCCAAAGAAUCUCAUGUUACUACUACUUCCAGAAAAUAGAACACUAUGUAACAGGUUAUUUCCAGAAGAUUGUCAUUAUCAACCUAAAAUCUUGUGAAGCUGUUUCUUUGAGCCUAGUCACUUUUACGAGUCUGUUAUGAGCUGACUACCUUAGAAAAAUAUUAUGAUUGCUUGUAUUCUUUUGCCUUAGAGCCCUGGAAGGAGAGGAAAGCAAAUCCCAGGUUAGAUAACUAUUAUGGCCAUCCACCCAAGAGGUUAGUUGGAGGCAUCAAUAGAGAGCAUUAUGGUUGAAGGAGGGGGACUUCAAUACUAAAUUCUUUCACAGGGGAGCAGUAGCAAAUAGAAGCGAUGUGAGAAAGGAGGAAGUGGUAGAGGGGGCAGUUGUAGAUUAUUAUGAAAUAUUGCUUAAAGAAAAAGUGGAUUGGGAGCCUACUAUUGGGAGUUUAGGGUUCAGUCUAAUCGUACGGGAGGUGAAUGGUUGGAGAGGGCAAUGGAGGAGCAAGAGGGAAAAAGAGUGGUGGAGUGUUGAGCAUGUCACAAAGCUCGGGCCCAAAUGGUUUCUCUUUGGCUUUUAUUAGCAUUGCUGGAAUACAGUCAAAAUAAAUGUGAUGAAUUCUAUUGCUGAGUUCCAACAUAGUAGUAAAUUUGAAAAGAGUUAGAAUGCCUCGUUCAAUGGUAUCAUCCCUAAAAUGGGAGUGAGCUACAAGCGCAAUGGAUUAUAAGACUUAAGUGUUGGCUGAGAUCGUUUCUUCACAAAUUGCUUUUGUGGAGGGCAAACGGAUUUUGUAUGCAGUGUUGGUGGCGAACAAAGUGAUGGAUUCAAAGAUAAAGCAGGGAGUACUUGGUGUGUUGUGCAAACUUGAUCUUGAAAAGGCAUACGAUCAUGUGAAUCGGAAAAAUUCAGGACUCCAUUAUGCUUCAAAUGUGAUUUGGGGAGAAGCGUAGGAAAUGAAUCUACUUUUGUGUUUCUUUGGUGAGAGUUUGGAGCUAUUUCAGCUUGGGAUGAUGAUAGUGAAUUUCCUGGGACCUUUUGAUGGCAAUGCAUUUAGUGAUGUUGGGAAGUUAAGCACACUUGUCUCUUAACCUCGCCAGGUUUCUUCCUCUUCUCCUCUUCUCAAAUCUUGUCUAUUUAUGCUUGUGGUUCUGCAAUCUAGAUUCCUCCAAGUGUAAAUUUUAACCCUCAGGCCCACAGUUGAUCAAGUAUGAUUUAUACAGAUUAAAUUCUCCUGCAGGGACCAGGCCCUAUUCUCCGCACCAUUGGCUGUUCUUUUAAUUUUCUGUUGCGCCUGUUACUUUUUUGGGUGGGUGCGUGGGUGUUGUGGCUGUUUGGUACUAUUGGUGCUAAUAAGUAGUUGUUUAUGUUGAAAAUAAAUAAUACCUGAUUGAGAACUUUUGUGGAACUGAUGAGUAGUAUUAAUCCCUUUUUCUUUAGGCUGAAAUGGAGAGAAUAAGCUUGAAUUUUGAAAGUGGGUGUUUAGUACCAGGCUGUAUUGAUAGGUCAAUGUCUUGUGCUAUUCAAGAUUGAAGUGUUCUGAAUUCUGAGGGAGACGAAUAAUGCACAUAAUUUUGACAGUGGUCAGUUACUAUUUGUCUUGAGAUAUGAGCAGUUGAAUACUAGAGAAGAAUCUCAUUAAAUAGACUUUGUUGUGAUGGUUCAGAAUUCACAUUAAGUAUAGUCACACAACUAUAAAUUCUGGUAAUUCAUCUUGUGCGUCCAAUUUGUUUAAUCUGAUACAUAUGGUUUGUUUGUAUCAAUAAGAUAAGUUGGAGAAUGUUAGAUGUUGAUUAGUACUAGUUUUGUUGUAGUUCUUGUUUUUGAACUAUAGUAUUGUUUAUUCUUGAUUUCAAUAGCAUGUUGUUUAUUGAUUGUUGCUAUUCUGUUGUUGUUAUUGUUAGAUCUUGAUUAGAGCUAUGAAUUUAGUAGUCCUAGAUGAAUUACACUUAGUGAUACAAAGAGUAGAAUUAUUGAAUCUGUGAAAUUCAGUCUGUGUACAGGAUUAGUGUGUCCUGUAAGGACUUGGGGGUCAUUUGGUUAAAAAACAAGUCAGGAAUUCUAAUAUAGGGAUUAUUAAUACAGAGAUUGUAAUGUAGAGAUUAUUUUUUAUCAGGUGUUUGGUCUAAUGUAUUAAAAGUUGUACCCUUGCUUUCUUAACAGAAUAACAACAUCAUGUUGCCUGGAAAGAGUAUUUUGGUGAAUGAAUCUUUUAAUACAAACAUGUAUGAUUAAAUGGAGACUCAGAUAUGGCGGAGGAAUAAUUAACAAGUAAAGAAGAGGACAAAAAAAAAACCCAAAUCACCAAAGCCACCACAAUGUUCCUUCGACCCGAAUAAACACAAAAAGCAAUGAGAUACAAACAACAAAAUCAACUAAAACAAACAAACACCCAAUUGGUGCCCAAGAUCAUAGUGGGGUUGUCUGUUGAAGUAGAACAAUGAGCAAUAAAGAUAGAAAUGGGUUGUCUUCAGAGUUGAAGUGGAAGUAUGUUAUGGAGGAUGACUCACUGGACAGGGUUAGUUUAGUCUUUUAGGUGAUUUAUCCCCGUGUAGCUAAUACUAGGAUUAGUUAUUCCAUGUUGACUUCCGUAUAAGUCAACCAAAUAUAGAACUAACUAAUACAAAGUUUGUACUGUGAUUAAUUUCUGCAAUACGUCGAACCAAACGUCCCCUUAGUGUCUUUGUUAAAAAAACGCUCCCUUAGUGUCCAUGCUUAAACAAGUGAAAUGGAGAGAUUAAUGGAGAUUUGAAGGGUGAUUUUCAGUGACGAGAUGUGUUGUUAGAUUGGAUUGUUUAUAUCGUGAUGGUUUGGAAGUAGUAGCUGUGUAAGGUUGACAAUGAUGGGACAGUUACAAUGGUUUGUCUUCAAGCAGUUGAUUAUAGAUGAGGGUCUCUUAAAUAUAGUUUGUUGCAGAGGUGGUUCAAAAUUCAUUUAAAAGCUUCAUUUAAAGUUGUGAUGUGGUUGAGCUGGUUAGUGGUAAUUUGGAAGUGUGAUGUCAACUUGGUUGAUGAUAGUUCCUUUGUAAUGGAUGAGUUGUUGCAGUCAAUUUUUUGGUGAUGGAGAAAUCAGUCACGAGCCAACCCUUUGGUCAAUGUAGCUUUGGAAACUCGCGAAUGAUGGGCUCACUCUUUACUUUUCUCCACUCAUGUACUGGACCUAGUUCGUUUGACAUAGGCCUCAAACUAGUAAAUUAAAACACAUGUCUCCCAACCCUUGCUAAUUGAGCAUAAUCAUCUUUUAUCACACUUUUGGAAUCUAAACCUGGGGAUGUAAUGGUUUCUGGCCAUCUGCUGUUAAAAGUUUGUACUUUGAUAUAAUUAUGAAUGAAUUACAUUUGUUGGUGACAGAUUCUGAUUUUGGUGAGUCGAUUUCAAACUGCAAUGUUGAAUUUUUAUUAAAAUACAUUUUUGCUAGGUCUUCUUGUCUACUAGAAGGACAUAGAUGUGACUUUUUGCUAGGUCUUCUUGUCUACUAGAACAGUGACAUAGGUGUGACUUAGCAAAGAUGGCAAUUCUUUAAGUGCUUCUAGACUAUUUCAUAAGUUUUGACUUCUACAUAUACUAAUAGUGAAUUGCCAUGUCCCUAGUCUUCAACAAAGCGCACGUGUGACAAAGACAACUCUCUCACAAUCUUGCACAACUUACUCACGAUCUUGCUAUGCCAAAUUUGCUAAACUAAGCCUUUUUAUUGUAGAGAACUUGAUUAUUCGGGCUCUGUUUUUACCAUAAAUUUUGGUUCCAGAAUUUGAAAUACUACGUGGAGAUACAUUUUAAUUAACUGCUUGUCUGUCAAAUUGGUCCAAUAUUUCAACUUAAAAUUUGAAGUUUGAAUUAUACAUUCUAGGAGUUUUCAGGUUUUCACUCACAGAACUUCAACUUUGUUUCCAUGCCCAAACACAACUUCAACUUCUAAAUACCCUUUUCAACUUCAAAUGCUACUUCCUUUGCUUUUUCCAAAUCUCAACCAGAUCAUGUUCAAAAGCCUACUUACUGUAUAUUAGGGAAACAUACAGGUCAAACAUUUUACAUUUUUGUUCUUAAAUAAUAGCUAGUGAAAAAUGUUGUAAUGAGGUGAGUAUAUGGUUCAUCUUUUUUCUGUAGUAUAUAUUUGACUAGUAGAUAUCUGGUUAUCUUAUUUGGAUAUGUACUUUGAAAUUAGAGGAUUACAACUAUCUCAAAUUGGAUAUAUUUAUCUUUUUGUUAGUUGGUUUUGUGACAAUUUCACUUCGAUUUAAACAAAGAGGUCAGUAUUUAAUUCAUUAUAAUAUUCUUUAAUGCAUUAAUGAUUUUAUUUAAGAAGUUACUCCUUUUGCCCCAUUUUAUAUGACAACAACCGAUAGGACGCUAAACAUAUGCUACUAAAAGAAUAAGGGAUGUGAUGAAGCAAUAGUAAGGAAGUAUGUUAAGGUUUAAAUUUGAUUUGUUAAAUAAUUUUGAAUUGUUAGAACUUAUGGAAGUUAUAAUUUGAAACGAACCAUAAAUUUUGCCAAACAUGUAAUGAUGUCCCCAACUAAAAUAUUAUGAUGGGCGGAGGCAGUAAUUUGGACUGAAUUAUCUUCUUGCAGACAGCUUCUUUCGUUUAUUAUUAUGAUAAAAAUAUUAGUUUACAUGUCUUUGGUUUAUUGUGUUUCGAUUAUCACAUAUUUGCUGAUGUUACCGAUCUUUCUUGUAAACUUUACACUGCCUUUCUUAAUAACUGCUAUGCUUCUUUAUUGUUUUCGUCUUGUACUUAAGUUUGAUGCACUUGAGCCGGGGGUUUAUCGGAAACAACCUCUCUACCUCCUCGAGGUAGUGGUAAGGUCUGUGUACACUCUACCGUACCUUGGCCCCACUUAGUGGGAUUGCAGGGGGCAUGUUAUUGUAGUGUACAUGUCUCUCUUUCAAAUUUUAUUGGCACACAUUCUCAACUAGUUAGAAAUUGAUAUUGCGUCAACUUAUAGAUUCAAUUGAUUGGAGGGAGAUGUUCUGCAUUUUGUACAAACUCCACUGACUUCUCCGUUAUUCCAAGCUCCUAAAUUGAGUAGUAUUCCAUUCUUGUGAUAUAUCUCAUACUCCAAUAUAACAGAUUAACUAAUUAGUUAAGGAGGAAAUUUGUAGAUAACAAAAACAUGUUAAUUUUGUAGAUAUUUGAUUGUUAGGUACACUCAAGGAAGAAGAUCUCGAUUAUAAAUGUUUGACUGGGUAUGUUAUUGUGUGUACGUCUCUCUUUCAAAUUUUAUUGGCACACAUUUUCAACUAGUUAGAAAUUGGUAUCGUAGAUUCAAUUGAUUGGAGGGAGAUGUUCUGCAUUUUGUACAAAAGCCACUGAAAUCUCCGUUAUUCCAAGCUCCAAAAUUGAGUGUAGUAUUCCAUUCUUGUUAUAUAUCUCAUACUCCAAUAUAACAGAUUAACUUAUUAGUUGAGAAGGAAAUUUGUAGAUAACAAAAACAUGUUAAUUUUGAUAUUUGAUUGUUAGGUACACUCAAGGAAGAAGAUCUCGAUUAUAAAUGUUUGAGUUCAUUUUGCUUUUAGAGGACCUUAAAAUGCUAAAGAGUGACAAAUAAGAGAGAGUUAUUCAUCAGAAGUCCCAAGGUUACCUGGGAAUUAGAGACUUGUCAAUACAUAACAAAAGCAUGUUGAUGAAAUGAUUAUGCAGAUAUGACAAGUGGAUCAAGCUUUGCGGAGAAAGGGUUGUGAAUGCCAAACAUGGUACUGCGAAUCACUGGAGCACCACGGUUGUUAGUUCCCUUUAUGGCGUGGGUCCUUGGAAGUAGUAUAUCAGCAAGUUAGGGGUGGAACUCUAUCUCAAUUGUAAGUUUUAAGGUGGGCAGUUGAUUAAAAGUUAGGUUCUGGAACAUUACAAGCUGAUUUUCCUAGUCUCUAUGCAAUAGCCACAAGCAAAUCUUCAACCAUCUCUCAAGAUAGAGCUGACAAUACCUGAAAGGCUGGAACUCUCAAUUCAAAAGGAACUUCCAAGACUGGGAACUACAAGACCUUCUCAGCUUACUGGAGAGACUAGGAGUUGUCCAAAUCAGUGAUUAAUCACCUGACAGACUCAUUUGGGGGGAUAAAGCGAUUGGUAAAUAUUUUGUGAAGGCAGCAUACAAUUUACUACGUGCUCAAAAUAAAAUGCUAGUGAAUUGGCAAUGGAAGUUAAUCUGCAAAACCAGGUUAUCCCCCUAGGUGAUUUGUUUUAGAUGGCUAGCCCUUCAUGAAGUCUCCCUCACCCAAGACAACCUCAUCAGGAGAAAAAUCCACAUUGUCAACAGAUGCUUCAUGUGUCACCAGACCCUAGAGAUCAACAGACAUCUUCUUCAUUGUCAAGUAGCCACAGGAAUAUGCAACAUGUUCAUCUCAGUUUUUGGUCUAAAAUGGGUUGUGCCAAGUAGUGUUAAAGAUGCACUGGUUAGCUGGAGCUCAUGGAAGGUCAUAAAACCCGUCAGGAAAGUGUGGAAGAUGAUCCUGCUUGCAUUUUUUUGGUGUGUAUGGACAGAAAGAAACAAUAGAUGCUUUGAAGGAACCUCUUCCUCAAGCUACAUUCUUGAGUCUUAAAGAGUUCUAACCCUCUGUAGCUGGAGCAAUUUCCCCCUGUCAAUUCCCCUGAAACUUUUUUGGACUUUGUUAGGUCCUAACUUUAGAUAUUAGCCUUGGUAAUAGAGCUAACAAUGUAAAUUAUGCAUCUUCUUGAUGCCUUCUAUGAAAUCUUUUAUCCGGUUUAUGGCACAGUACUCAUGUUGAAAUUUAUUAUUAGGCCAACUUAAACAGUGAGUCAAAUGGAGGUAAAUCUACCUAAGGUCAGAUCAGGAGCACUACAAAGAUAUGUAUUGCUUAAACAAAGGGCGAGCACAGGGAUGUACAAGUAUCAAUAACAGCAACUUGGCGUUCUCUAGUUGUAACUAGGAAAAUACUAUUAUAAGUUGUCUUACGGUUUGUGUAUUUUGGUCAAUGUAGAGUUUGAGACAGAAAGAUUGGGCUGCUUCUUUGUUCUGGCAUGGUUGGAGUUGCCUCGAGAACGUUCAUCAUGAAGGUUAGAGUUGUCAAUGCAUUCGCAAACUUACUUUUUUCUCAGCAGUGGAGGAAAACUUAUUUUCUUGUCCAGUAAAGUUCCUUGUUGAAAAGGUGUUUACCACAUACAUGGCAAUACAAGUAUGCCAGUAAGACCAGAUUCGAUAUCCCUAUUAUACAAUCGAGACAGAGAUCUCAAACAUCAACAUCGUUGAAAUAGUAAUUUAUUAUGUUAUAUAA